AUGAACGCUGGCGGCGUGCCUAAUACCUGCAAGUCGAGCGAACGGACGAGAAGCUUGCUUCUCUGAUGUUAGCGGCGGACGGGUGAGUAACACGUGGAUAACCUACCUAUAAGACUGGGAUAACUUCGGGAAACCGGAGCUAAUACCGGAUGAUAUUCUGAACCGCAUGGUUCAAAAGUGAAAGACGGUCUUGCUGUCACUUAUAGAUGGAUCCGCGCUGCAUUAGCUAGUUGGUAAGGUAACGGCUUACCAAGGCAACGAUGCAUAGCCGACCUGAGAGGGUGAUCGGCCACACUGGAACUGAGACACGGUCCAGACUCCUACGGGAGGCAGCAGUAGGGAAUCUUCCGCAAUGGGCGAAAGCCUGACGGAGCAACGCCGCGUGAGUGAUGAAGGUCUUCGGAUCGUAAAACUCUGUUAUUAGGGAAGAACAUAUGUGUAAGUAACUGUGCACAUCUUGACGGUACCUAAUCAGAAAGCCACGGCUAACUACGUG
rnacentral:rRNA from 1 species